rnacentral:rRNA from 1 species
GACGAACGCUGGCGGCGUGCCUAAUACAUGCAAGUAGAACGCUGAAGGAGGAGCUUGCUUCUCUGGAUGAGUUGCGAACGGGUGAGUAACGCGUAGGUAACCUGCCUGGUAGCGGGGGAUAACUAUUGGAAACGAUAGCUAAUACCGCAUAAGAGUAGAUGUCGCAUGACAUUUGCUUCAAAGGUGCAAUUGCAUCACUACCAGAUGGACCUGCGUUGUAUUAGCUAGUUGGUGAGGUAACGGCUCACCAAGGCAACGAUACAUAGCCGACCUGAGAGGGUGAUCGGCCACACUGGGACUGAGACACGGCCCAGACUCCUACGGGAGGCAGCAGUAGGGAAUCUUCGGCAAUGGACGGAAGGCUGACCGAGCAACGCCGCGUGAGUGAAGAAGGGUUUCGGAUCGUAAAGCUCUGUUGUAAGAGAAGAACGAGUGUGAGAGUGGAAAGUUCACACUGUGACGGUAUCUUACCAGAAAGGGACGGCUAACUACGUG